GGUGAUGCAACUGGUCUGUCAAUAUGAGGUUCGUUUGCAAAGAUACAUAGCUAUGAUUGAUAUGCGGACUAAUGCUUUAUUAUGAAAGAUUGAUGCCUCUUUGAAGCAAUCAUAUGCCUUUUAUGCUGCAUUUGAUGGAAUUCCAGGGCUACAGGCAUCUGGAGCAUAUAUAUUUUCCAUCCAAAUGGUAAAUAUUCUAUUGGCUCUCAGAAGCAGAUUCGUGACGAUAGAGUUGAGUGGGAUCUUGAAGUGAAUCAACUUAUUGCAUGAAACUGUUAUCCUUUUGUAGUGGAAAUAAUGGCUAUUAUUACAAAUUUCCUCACAAUA